UUAACCUACAACCUGUCAAGUCUGGUCAUGUUGCAUUAGCUGAUGGUCAGAGUUGUGAAAUUGUUGGAAAGGGUGAUGUAUGUUUGAGAUUUGAAAAUGGAAAAUGUCUUACUUUGACUAAUGUCAGAUAUGUUCCCAACUUGAAGUUCAGUUUGUUAUCUGUGUCACAAAUUGCUGAUAAUAGGGUAACUGGAUCUGUUGAUCAUCUGAGUUUUCAAUUCAAGCAAGAUUCUGAGCAUGUUUUUUCUGCACUUAG
rnacentral:lncRNA from 1 species